UGGCAGCCCUGCAGCCUCCUCUGUGUACUCAGAGCACAGAUGCACUUCAGGUAGUGACAGUGCCAACAUCCUGCACUGCCCCUGCCAGGCAGGCCUCACCUUCACCGAAGAGGCCACCUCUAAAGAGAAGGGCCAAGUCUGAAACCUGGGUCUUCUCAAGAUGGU
rnacentral:sRNA from 1 species